UGAUUGAUUGAUUGAUUGGUUGGUUGGUUGGUUGGUUGGUUAAACACGUUGGAAAGGGUCAAUUGAAACAGCGAAAAAGAAACAAAGGAGAUCUUGAACCCUAUAUUAAACACAUGAGACGGAAACAUGAUUGAUUGAUUGAUUAAUCAUGAUCAUGAUUGGUUGAUUGAUCAUGAUCAUGAUUUGUUGAUUGAUCAUUAUUGAUUGAUCAUGAUUGGUUGGUUGGUUGGUUGGUUGCUUGGUUGGCAAACACACAUAAAAUUCUUCAAGUCGUGCCCCAAAUCACAUAUUGUACGACCUUGACCUUUGACCUUGUGACCUUUGUCAAGGUCAUUGCUUCACAAUGUCAUUGCAAAAGACCCUAUGGGUCAAGGACCUUUUGUU
rnacentral:lncRNA from 1 species